GAUGAAUGCUGGCGGCGUGCCUAACACAUGCAAGUCGAGCGGUAACAGGUCUAGUUACUAGAUGCUGACGAGCGGCGGACGGCUGAGUAACGCGUAGGAACGUGCCCCAAAGUGAGGAAUAACUGCCCGAAAGGGUAGCUAAUGCCGCAUAUGAUCUUCGGAUUAAAGUCUUCGGACGCUUUGGGAGCGGCCUGCGUUAGAUUAGGUAGUUGGUAGGGUAAUGGCCUACCAAGCCUACGAUCUAUAGCUGGUCUGAGAGGAUGAUCAGCCAGACUGGGACUGAGACACGGCCCAGACUCCUACGGGAGGCAGCAGUGAGGAAUCUUCCACAAUGGGCGAAAGCCUGAUGGAGCAACGCCGCGUGCAGGAUGAAGGCCUUCGGGUCGUAAACUGCUUUUAUAAGUGAAGAAUAUGACGGUAACUUAUGAAUAAGCACCGGCUAACUACGUG
rnacentral:rRNA from 1 species